CAGCAGCCGCGGUAAUACGCAGGGGGCUAGCGUUGCUCGGAAUUACUGAGCGUAAAGGGAGCGUAGGCGGGUCGUUUAGUCAGAGGUGAAAUCCCGGGGCUCAACCUCGGAACUGCCUUUGAUACUGGCGACCUUGAGUAUGGGAGAGGUAAGCGGAACUCCGAGUGUAGAGGUGAAAUUCGUAGAUAUUCGGAAGAACACCAGUGGCGAAGGCGGCUUACUGGCCCAUUACUGACGCUGAGGCUCGAAAGCGUGGGGAGCAAACAGGAUUAGAUACCCCAGUAGUCCCUGUCUCUUAUAC
rnacentral:rRNA from 1 species